AAGUCGAACGGUAACAGGAAGCAGCUUGCUGCUUCGCUGACGAGUGGCGGACGGGUGAGUAAUGUCUGGGAAACUGCCUGAUGGAGGGGGAUAACUACUGGAAACGGUAGCUAAUACCGCAUAACGUCGCAAGACCAAAGAGGGGGACCUUCGGGCCUCUUGCCAUCGGAUGUGCCCAGAUGGGAUUAGCUUGUUGGUGGGGUAACGGCUCACCAAGGCGACGAUCCCUAGCUGG
rnacentral:rRNA from 1 species